rnacentral:lncRNA from 1 species
CCUAACAAGAUAAAACACAAUCCAAUCGCAUAACCGAACACCAUACCUAAAUACCCAGCCGAAUCAAAAAAAUCACCAAAAGAAAACCAAUUCAGAAUCACAAUCAAACGGCUUCGGAAAGAUACGGCGGCGAAUUCAUGACGAUCCGAUUUUCAGACCGGCAAAAUAAAAUCAAAUCAGGACCAAAAUCAGACGAUAUAGCUAAAGAGAAAGAAAAAAACAUGCAACGGAUAACCGCCGCUGAUUGGAUGG